rnacentral:rRNA from 1 species
AUUGAACGCUGGCGGCAGGCCUAACACAUGCAAGUCGAGCGAGCGGCGGACGGGUGAGUAAUGUAUGGGGACUGCCCGAUAGAGGGGGAUAACUACUGGAAACGGUGGCUAAUACCGCAUACUGUCGGAUAACCCAUAUGGGAUUAGCUAGUAGGUAAGGUAAUGGCUUACCUCGGCGACGAUCCCUAGCUGGUCUGAGAGGAUGAUCAGCCAAAUGGGGACUGGGGAACUGCCCAGGAUCCUACGGGGGCAGCAGGGGGGAAUAUUGCACAAUGGGCGCAAGCCUGGUGCAGCCAUGCCGGGUGAGUGAUGACGGCCUUCGGGUUGGAAAGCUCUGUUAAUCGGGAGACGGUACCGAAAUAGAAAGCCACGGCUAACUACGUGCCAGCAGCCGCGGUAAUAC